rnacentral:rRNA from 1 species
GAUGAACGCUGGCGGCGUGCCUAAUACAUGCAAGUCGAGCGAACAGACGAGGAGCUUGCUCCUCUGACGUUAGCGGCGGACGGGUGAGUAACACGUGGAUAACCUACCUAUAAGACUGGGAUAACUUCGGGAAACCGGAGCUAAUACCGGAUAAUAUAUUGAACCGCAUGGUUCAAUAGUGAAAGACGGUUUUGCUGUCACUUAUAGAUGGAUCCGCGCCGCAUUAGCUAGUUGGUAAGGUAACGGCUUACCAAGGCAACGAUGCGUAGCCGACCUGAGAGGGUGAUCGGCCACACUGGAACUAGGACGCGGCUCAGACUCCUACGGGAGGCAGCAGUAGGGAAUCUUCCGCAAUGGGCGAAAGCCUGACGGAGCAACGCCGCGUGAGUGAUGAAGGUCUUCGGAUCGUAAACUCUGUUAUUAGGGAAGAACAAAUGUGUAAGUAACUAUGCACGUCUUGACGGUACCUAAUCAGAAAGCCACGGCUAACUACGUG